rnacentral:tRNA from 1 species
UGGGGUGUAGCUCAGCAGUGGGGCACUUGCCUCUCAUGCUAGAGGCCCUGGGUUCAAACUCCAGCACUGAAA